AGUGUGGUAAGCUAAACAAGCUCUUGGACCCAUACCCCAAUAAUGCAGGUUAAACCCCUGCCCGUACUA
rnacentral:tRNA from 1 species